rnacentral:rRNA from 1 species
AAGUGGAUUAGCGGCGGACGGGUGGAGUAACACGUGGGUAACCUGCCUCAUAGAGGGAAUAGCCUUCCGAAAGGAAGAUUAAUACCGCAUAAGAUUGUAAUAUCGCAUGAUAUAGCAAUUAAAGGAGUAAUCCGCUAUGAGAUGGACCCGCGUCGCAUUAGCUAGUUGGUGAGGUAACGGCUCACCAAGGCGACGAUGCGUAGCCGACCUGAGAGGGUGAUCGGCCACAUUGGGACUGAGACACGGCCCAGACUCCUACGGGAGGCAGCAGUGGGGAAUAUUGCACAAUGGGGGAAACCCUGAUGCAAGCAACGCCGCGUGAGUGAUGACGGUCUUCGGAUUGUAAGCUCUGUCUUCAGGGACGAUAAUGACGGUACCUGAGGAGGAAGCCACGGCUAACUACGUGCCAGCCGCCGC